rnacentral:rRNA from 1 species
UAGGGAAUCUUCCGCAAUGGACGAAAGUCUGACGGAGCAACGCCGCGUGAGUGAAGAAGGAUUUCGGUUCGUAAAACUCUGUUGUUAGGGAAGAAAAAAUGUAUAGUAACUAUAUACAAAAGAGACGGUACCUAACCAGAAAGCUACGGCUAACUACGUGCCAGCAGCCGCGGUAAUACGUAGGUGGCAAGCGUUGUCCGGAAUUAUUUGGCGUAAAGCGCGCACAGGUGGUUUAGAAAGUCUGAUGUGAAAGCCAACGGCUCAACCGUGGAGGGUCAUUGGAAACUAAUAAAAUUGAGUGCAAGAGAGAAGAGUGGAAGUCAUAGUGUAGCGGUGAAAUGCGUAGAGAUUAGGGGGAGCUCCGGUGGCGAAAGCGGCUUUUUGGCCUGCAACUGACACUGAGGAGCGAAAGCGUGGGGAGCAAACAGG